UACAGAGGGGGCAAGCGUUGUUCGGAAUUACUGGGCGUAAAGGGCGCGUAGGCGGCCCGCUAAGUCGAACGUGAAAUCCCUGGGCUCAACCCAGGAACUGCGUCCGAUACUGAGGAUCUCGAGUCCGGGAGAGGUGAGUGGAACUCCGAGUGUAGAGGUGAAAUUCGUAGAUAUUCGGAAGAACACCAGUGGCGAAGGCGGCUCACUGGCCCGGUACUGACGCUGAGGUGCGAAAGCGUGGGGAGCAAACAGG
rnacentral:rRNA from 1 species